UCCAGGAUAGGCUGCCAAAAACUCAGACACUAUUGUUCCUCAUUUAAAUACCACUGUGUAAUAAAUGCAUGGAAAAAUGAAACAAUAGAAGUGUGUGCACCAAUUUAAAAUAUCGUUGGAAAGGUAUGUGCAGAAUACAGUUUUGGUGGGUCCAUGAUACAGCGCAACGCAAACGCAACAUGCCAUGGAUGCCCAAACUUUUAUAACUCUAACGAGAGCUUUAAGUAUCCUGAGUGCUACGAUUUAGUCUCAAAUGUACGUAAAACAAGCAGACCUGUGGUCACUACUACGCCAUCUACUGUAGAGACCACUAUCACAACAGAUAGUAUAACACCAUUAGCACUUUCGAAUCAGAAACAGGUGUCAACAGAACAAGAACAAAAAUCUGAUCUGGAUAUCGA